CUCAUCAGCGCUCAUCAGCGCGCCGAGCCCUGCCCGCGGCUCAGCGCGGCGCCGAGCCCGCGCAGGUGGGAGCUGCGCAGGAUGGAAAGUCCUGGCAGCUUUCCUCAGCCCUCCCGGGAUGGAUCGCGUCCAUCCCAGAGCUUCCGCAGCUUCCCUCCAUCCCAGCACGGCGAGCGCACUCGGGGUGCGGCACACACGGCAGAGGACACUGGGCAGGGAUCGGUUUACGCCUGAGAACAGCCUGCCCCGGCACACGGAGCCGUUACCUGACCCGCGGGGCUGUUUUUCCAUUGCCCGGCGUGCCAGGUGUGGGAUUGUUGUUACCUCACAGUGCUGGGCACGGUAACUGCUGAGUUAUGGUGCUGGGGACGCGCCCGUUCAGCUCAGCACAGGCUUUGUUUUCAUGACACCUAAACGAAAUUCAGACACAUCUGCUACUGACAGGGUGUUGAAGGAAUCAAUGAUUGGGGGAGCGGUUUUUAAAAAGGAGAAAUUUAGAUUAGAUCUUAGAAAGAAAUUGUUCUUAAGAAUUGAGUGAGGGUGGGCAGGCCCUGGCACAGGGAGCCCAGAGCAGCUGUGGCUGCCCCUGGAUCCCUGGCAGUGCCCAAGACCAGUCUGGAAGCAGCCUGGCACAGUGGAAGGUGUCCCUGCCCAUGGCAGGGGUGGGAUGAGAUGAUCUGUAAGGUCCCUUCCAACCCAAACCAUUCUGUGAUGUCACGUUUGGAGUCCACCCCAAACUCCCAGCAAUUAACUCCUCAUUUAGCAAACACAACCAGGACAGAGAAGCCCUUCCCGUGAGGGAUCCUGGUGGUCCAGAUCCCAUGAUCAAGAAGCUGGCAGGGCCUCAGGCACAUGGUAUUGCAGACCUGGAUAGGUGGGAUUCAGGGAAUCACAUUCCCACCUGGGAUGCUCCUUACACAGCACAAAUCACGGCUAAGUCACGAUGUGGGCCUGGGUGUCACAGACAGGCAGAGCUGCCACUGGCACAGGAUCAGGCUGCAAACCCAUCCCUGCCAGGCUGGAGAGGGAUGCAGAGCUCUGGGCUCCCUUAUUGCAGCACUGCAGGAAGACAAUCAAAAGAAAAAGUUAAUGAGGGAGAUGCCAGAGGCCCAAUCUCCUGCCCAAGAAGCUGGCACCAUUCCCUCCCUGCACCCAUCACACUGUGGCCUGCCCAGACCUUCUCACGGGGCUCUGUGAGGUUCCACUGAAAAUCCCACCGAGAGGAAUUGGGAACUUGGAGAGAUAGGAAAAAUAGGCAGGACAAGCUUGAAUCCUGGGUCCUUUCUCUGUUUCUCUGCAGGUUUUUAUUUGUUUGUCUCCAGCCCAACCCCUCUGGUUUUCUUGCAGAGAUGAGGCUUUUGGGAGAACAAAUAUUAGUUUUAACAAACAAACAAAUAAAAAGAAGGAAAAUCU